UGGCUGAGUGGUAAAGCGCUUGGCUUCCAAACGCGGGUCCCGGGUUCGAAUCCUGG
rnacentral:tRNA from 1 species